GAGGGUAUAGGUCAGUGGUAGAGCACAUGCUUAACAUGCACAAGGUCCUGGGUUCAAUCCAGUACCUCCA
rnacentral:tRNA from 1 species